UGGGUGUAUAACUCAGUUGGUUAGAGUGGUGGACUUUUAAUCCGAAGG
rnacentral:tRNA from 1 species